rnacentral:rRNA from 1 species
UACGGGGGGGGCAAGCGUUGUUCGGAAUUACUGGGCGUAAAGGGCUCGUAGGCGGCCAACUAAGUCGGACGUGAAAUCCCCAGGCUCAACCUGGGAACUGCGUCCGAUACUGGAUGGCUUGAAUCCGGGAGAGGGAUGCAGAAUUCCAGGUGUAGCGGUGAAAUGCGUAGAUAUCUGGAGGAAUGCCGGUGGCGAAGGCGGCAUCCUGGACCGGCAUUGACGCUGAGGAGCGAAAGCCAGGGGAGCAAACGGG